GCCCCCGUAGCGCAGCGGUAGAGCGGGAGACGAUAUCUCCGGGCCGCUGGUUCGAACCCAGCCGGGGGCA
rnacentral:tRNA from 2 species